GUCCGGCAGGUGCAACUAUUACACAUUGUCUCGAGGAUUCCUUGGACCUAUGAGUCUUAGUCUUGCAUUCCCUAAGGGCUCACCGCUGCGAAGGAGAUUUAACCAAAUCAUCACCAGGUUGCGGGAAUCGGGUAUAAUGAUGAAACUGUUCACUAACGGUAUGGGUAACAGCACUGAAUGCAUCUCCAACGCCGGCUCGUAUUAUUUGUUUGCUGCCAAGGAACGAGCUCUCCAGCUGAAGGAUUUUUAUGGAGUGUUUUUGGUUUACACCGCAGGACUGUUUCUGGCUGUGUGUUUUUUUCUCGGGGAGGUGUGGCGAAGUGGAGAGCGAUUACACACAGAAGCGCCUCUUACACCCCGAAAAACCACGAUCCCAGCGAACUCUGAAGCAUCAUUCCAGCUUACCUCUGACACACAUCUGGGACUUGGACGCUUUGUGCACGAUAAGGAAGAAUUCUGA